rnacentral:tmRNA from 1 species
GGGGCCGAAAUAGGAUCGACGGACGUGUAAAGGUUCGGCUUUCGCUCGGAUGGCCUCCGUUAUUGGGCCAUGAUGAAUAGUUGCCAAUGACAACUCUUCGGAAGGUUUCGCUCUCGCUGCGUAACGCGGUGCAAGCAAACCACUAUUAAAGCCCUAGGCCCUUUCCCGGUCUAGGCGGGGUCCCGGGGAACCUGGCAACAGAAUCCCCGACU